CUUGCUCUCAGGAGGCUGGUAGUGAUGUGUUCACCUUACUGAGAGGUAGAUCUCAGGCAGGAUCCUGGUGGCAGUGGCUCAUAGCUGAUGGUGACUGAGGAAUAAUUGACAUUCUGUGAUGCAGAAGAGCAAGGAGGAAAGAGUGAAGUGCAAAUCUGAGAAACGGGAGGGCAGCAUACCCAGAAGGGCAGAGGCACCCUGAUUUGAAAAUGUCAGUUUGCAGUACACUGGGCAAACUCAUAUGCUGCAAAGGUGAAGAUGUAUUAAGGUAGAUUGUGGGCCAGACAGAGUUUGGUGAUUAAGUGUUGCCACACGAGGAAGCCAGAAUGCAGAAGAUAGCAGUCCCAGCAAACACACCUUCUGCCUAAAAGCAGUAAAAUGUCUGUCACUGAGACCUGGGAGGAAAAAAAACAAUUAUAUGAGUGGAAACCUUGCAUUCCUGAGGCUGUUUCUUAUCUCUUCUGUAUUUUCUCCUGUGUGAUCUUAUGGCUGUAAAAUUCAGAGACGCUUAUUUUCUGUCUAAAAAUGAUUUCAGCAUUGACUGUGCUCAGAAU